UACAGAGGGUGCGAGCGUUAAUCGGAAUUACUGGGCGUAAAGCGUGCGUAGACGGUUAUUUAAGUCGGCCGUGAAAGCGCCGGGCUCAACUCGGCGAGGACGGGCGAGACUGCAGGGCUAGAGAGAGGCAGAGGGCGGUGGAAUUCCGGGUGUAGUGGUGGAAUGCGUAGAGCUCCGGAGGAACACCAGUGGCGAAGGCGACUACCUGGACCAGCACUGACACUGAGGCACGAAAGCGUGGGGAGCAAACAGG
rnacentral:rRNA from 1 species